rnacentral:rRNA from 1 species
GUAGGGAAUAUUGGGCAAUGGAUGCAAGUCUGACCCAGCCAUGCCGCGUGGAGGAAGAAGGUCCUCUGGAUUGUAAACUCCUUUUUUGGGGGAAGAAUAGUUCUCUUGCGAGGGAAUGUGACGGUACCCUAAGAAUAAGCCACGGCUAACUACGUGCCAGCAGCCGCGCUAAUACGUAGGUGGCAAGCGUUGUCCGGAUUUAUUGGGUUUAAAGGGUGCGUAGGUGGUUUGAUAAGUCAGUGGUGAAAGCUGGUUGCUCAACAAUCAAGUUGCCAUUGAUACUGUCGGACUUGAGAGAAGUGGAGGUUCAUGGAAUGGAUGGUGUAGCGGUGAAAUGCAUAGAUAUCAUCCAGAACGUCGAUUGCGAAGGCAGUGGGCUGUACUUUAUCUGACACUGAGGCACGAAAGUGUGGGGAUCGAACAGGAUUAGAAACCCCGGUAGUCC